UAGCUAAGUGGUAGAACAUCUGCCUGGUAUGCAGAAGGUCCCAAAUUCAAUCCCUGGCAUCUCAG